GUAAGCAAUUACCAACAGUACAUAAAAUUGUUCUCGUCUACUCUUAUUAUUGAGAGUACCGCUUUUAGUUUUAGGACUUUUUUCCCUAUGCACUUCUCUCAUUCUGCAUCAAACUACCAUCACUCACCGCACUUCUUCUUCGUCGCUUCAUCCCAUCUCUUCGGGUGGAAGCGCCGGCUCUUCACUUUUCCACCACCGCCACCUUUUCCUCCUCCUCACACCACGUUCUACACUGAACUACUCAAUUGAUGUUCUUCGUUGUUGCCUCCUCCUUACUCUGCAUUUUCUGGCGCUGGUUUUCGCCACAAUCUCCGUCUUCGUUGCUGGCUCUACCAUAUACUCUGAUAUCUGGUUUUAGUUUGCAACUGACCUUUUGAUCCUUUUCUCAUUUAAUUUCGAUUGCUUAACUAAAAAAUUCUCAUUUCCUAGGGUUUAUAUAAUUUAAUUGAUAUUAUGAUCCGAUUGGGGAUUUUUUGAAAAUUUCAUGUUAAUUUUGUGAUUUUAUUAUGUGCAAUCUAUUUUGAUUCUCUUGUAAUGAUCAUAAAUCGAAACGCACGUCGAUGUGAUUCAAUAUUUGCUGGUUAACUUGAUAUCUGGCAGAAUCCGUUGCAAUUAGUAUGAUUCUUUGGUAUGUUAGCGCAUUAGAUUCUCUUGAUCAAUAGGUUUGACGAAAGUAACCUGAUUCAUGGUUCAAUUGUUUUUUCUUUUAUUAAUUAUUCAAUGUAGGUAAGUGUAAUGCCUGGUGGGAAGUUCAAAUGAAGGUAAGUACAAUGCUUUAAUGUAUUCAUUCAUUUAUCACUUUAACAUAGGUGAUAUUUUAUUUGAUACUGGUAUGUAUAAUGUAUUCAUUCAUUUAUCAUUCUAAUAACUUGUGACUUGGAAGACAUGUCUUAGAAUUUGAAAUCUUACAAGCAUUCCAAGGAAAAACUUGAUAAGGCAAUUAAGCCAUGAAACCUCCUUUUAGGUAUAAAUGGAAUAAAUUCUUUCACUUUUUUUUUUAAAUUUUUUGGUAUAGUAGACCUUCACAACAUCACUCUGCCUCCUUUUUUCUUUAUGUUUUGUGCACGCUAUCAAGUAUAAGAAAAAUUGUACAAUUGAUUUUCAUGAAUAAAAGAAAAAUUUAGACACAAAUGAAGUUAGUAUAUAAAAGUUAAAACUAUAAAUGUUUGCUGCACAAAUGAUGGUUCACAUCACCCCACACUAAACUGAGAUAGCAUUAUAUGAGAAUCUCUAUAGAAAAUGAAAUCAAGUAAUUGUAUUACAGGUCUAGGUACACUUAUUUUUAAGUUAUCCUUGGCUGCUCGGUAUUAUCUUAUAUCUGGUAAUUAUUGGAUCUUUGACCUACACUAAUUGUUUUUUGUAUCCUUUUAAUUAUUAUGUUUCUGUCUUGUGAUUCUUUUCUAUUGUACAAAUUAGAACUUGCAAUGAAUAUCCACCAUUAUUGUAUUACAGUAUUAGCUUUAUUUAGUAACCGAAGUUGCAUAUUGGUGGUCCUGUUAUUUUUUUUAAAAGUAAAAGAUGAGUUUUAUUUAGGACAUGACAAGGUUGUUUGAGAUUUAUUAUCCUUUAGACAAAAACAACAUAAAUGAUAGAGCCCUUGAGUUAUCUUAAACUAAUGUAGAAUAUGUGUCCUAUUUGGUGACAUAUAGAGGAUUAACAAUUAUAAGGAUAUCAAAGACUCCUUACAAAGAAAGAUAUAUGGAAGUUAGAUACAUGGGAUCGAGUGAGACACUGAAUGAAAAAGAUGUUGGACAGAAGAAUCUCAGUGGUCGAAACCUUGGCUUUUAAGAGCAUUCAAUGCAAUCCUUGGUGAGAGAUAUGACCGAUUUGUAUUUAACAUGAUAGGGUGUAGAAGAUAGACAAUAUUUUCUGGUGUUACUUUAUGAUCAUUUGCAUAAGUUGAGAGUUGAGACCAUCAAUAAUGGCUCAUAAUGAGAGGGUAAAUAUUGAAGUAAAAUAGUGUUUAGCACUGAUAAGUUAAUCUUAGCCGACUAACUUAGACUCAUUUAUCUUCUUCUGUGUAGUAAAAUUAGUUUGUGAUGAUGAAACUACUUAUUGUAUAAUAUAUAAUUGAAUGUUCUUUAUUUAUUUUUUUCACCUGACUUUCUUUAUUUUUAUUCGUGUAUCUCAUUUGUUUUUAUGCACUCAUACAUCUUUGUGCUUCGGUUUUUGCGCCUUACAUGUUUUUAGUGGGGAGGAUUUUGGAAGGUAAUGUUCUAUCUCUUCUAUUUAUAUAAUCAUUGCACUUGUUCGCUUUCAAUAUUUACAUGUGUUAAACUUUGCUAUAUGUCAAAAUGCAUUGUCAAUUUUAAUAUAUUUGUUAAUCUAUUUACAAUAUAUAGAUUGAAAAUGAUCUCUCACAGUUUUUGGGUGCACUAGUAUUGAAUUAGCUGCUAGAGGUCAGUUACUGUUUUACUGAAAUCACAGGUUAACCACCUCUAGUACAAGUUAUAGUGCUCUGACAAAUUCUUCAUUAUUAUUUUGUUCUAACAAUUCUCUAUCACUUGAUGUGUCCUAUUAAUUACCCGCAGUCUAUGCAAAAUGGUGAUCCAGCCUAGAUUGGCUACGUUUUUGCCUUCUCAAUAUUUGUUGGAGUGGUAUGAUACAAAAUCUGAUUAAAUUAUAGAUGAUAAUAUUGUAAUUUUAAUUUUCUGUGAUUAAUGAUAUUGCUGGUUGGAAAUGCUUGCAAUAACCCUUUAUGUCAUGGCAAUGCUUCUUAGGAUCUGUCAUUGGAAUUGGUCAUUGGGAUUGGUUUAUUAAUCUUAGUGCUUCUGAUUAUCUGUUGGUAGCAUAAGAUGGUAUGGUAGUGGCCUUAAUCAAAAUGCUGUGUCAAAAUUUAUGUUUUUUUUUGUUGUUUCAUAAGUAUUAUUUGCAUAAUUAUACUUCUUACUCUUAGCCCUUUCUAUUAAUUGUUGUUUUGUUUAUGUUGAUGAUUACUUUAAUUUUUUUUUUCAAAUCUAAUUCAAGCUUUUAGUGAGGUACCAAGGAAUAUCAAUUUUGUACAACAUAGCAGUCGCUUGGGUUAGAAAUUGUAAGUAGCAUUGUUGAUUUAUUAGAGUUUUGUAGUUUGUUUCUAAAUUAUUCUAACUUUU